AGCGAAAGCUGGCGGCAGGCUUAGCACAUGCAAGUCGAACGCCCCGCAAGGGGAGUGGCAGACGGGUGAGUAACACGUGGGAACGUACCCUUUGGUUCGGAAUAACUUGGGGAAACUCAAGCUAAUACCGGAUAAGCCCUUAUGGGGAAAGGUUUACUGCCGAAGGAUCGGCCCGCGUCGGAUUAGCUAGUUGGUGAGGUAAUGGCUCACCAAGGCGACGAGCAGUAGCUGGUCUGAGAGGAUGAUCAGCCACACUGGGACUGAGACACGGCCCAGACUCCUACGGGAGGCAGCAGUGGGGAAUAUUGGACAAUGGGGGCAACCCUGAUCCAGCCAUGCCGCGUGAGUGAUGAAGGCCUUAGGGUUGUAAAGCUCUUUUACCCGGGACGAUAAUGACUGUACCGGGAGAAUAAGCCCCGGCUAACUUCGUGCCAGCAGCCGCGGUAA
rnacentral:rRNA from 1 species